rnacentral:rRNA from 1 species
GGCCCUUUACGUCAGAGGGUAAAUCCCAGGGCUCAACCCUGGAACUGCCUUUGAUACUGGGUGUCUUGAGUUCGAGAGAGGUGAGUGGAAUUCCGAGUGUAGAGGUGAAAUUCGUAGAUAUUCGGAGGAACACCAGUGGCGAAGGCGGCUCACUGGCUCGAUACUGACGCUGAGGUGCGAAAGUGUGGGGAGCAAACAGGAUUAGAUACCCUGG